ACCACCGCUACUACUAGUCGUAGCUAGCAACUUGCCAUGCCAGUUCCUAUCUAAGCUAGCCCUGCUCGUCGACAAAAUGAGCACAAUACUUUCUUCUAAUUUCUAAACUACGAGCAUUUUUGUUUUCUGCCUAUAUAUUCAUGAUAUUUGCAAGCAAUCAGUAACUCAAGUUUCUAGCUAGAGAGUGAGAGGGAGGAAGUCAUGAGGGGUUCUUCUAACAACAGUGCAAAUCAAGUUGAUGAAGCUGAUGGGGAAGAAUACACACAAGAUGGUACAUUGGAUCUUAAAGGAAACCCGUACUUAGAUCCAAAAGAGGUGGAUGGAAAGCUUGCUCCUUCGUUGUUGGAAUCACUCAACUAAGAAAGGAAUUAUCAAAAGUCAAGUGUAAAGUUGUAGUGUUAAGUCACUAGCAGUAACCACAUCGAGUCGGUUAUUGGCUUCUCCAUUUGUACGUGGUACCUAAUUCAAGCCUGCAGUGGAAACAGAACCAAAUACUAAAAAUUUUUUGGUAAGCGUAAGUGGGGUCAGUGGUAAGAAAGGAAAAGGUGAGAGCCGCGACUCCGCAAACUUUAUAAAUUUUCGCUUUAUUAUUACUAUUAUGGUACUAACGGUAAAUACCUGUAAAGCGAGAAAUUAUCGCAUCCAUAAAGGAUGAAAUACAUUUAAUUUAUGUUGUUCUAAUGAUCUCUAGAAAUUUUGAAAUAAUUCCACCAGAAGUUAGAAUAUCGUGUGGCAAUAUGGAUACAAAAAGCGCGCUCCGCUAGCCGGUCGGUCCCAGAAGUGACCCGUUACAAAGUGCUAGUCGGUUCCUAUCAGUGGUCCCUGAAGUGACCUGUAACUAAUAUUGAGGCAAUUUUUUUGCCACAAAAGACUAUAUCCAUGUGCACACUUAGAAAUUGAUAUUUCGUCAACGCGAAGUUAACGAAAAUGGAGAUUUGUUGUUUCUUUUAGUACCAUAUAUGUUUAUGUUUUCUUUAUUUUCAAGUUCUGUUUAUUUUAUUUA